CUUGAGGGAGCCCAGCCACAGCGGGUCGGUGCCCUCGCGGCCCUGUCCGUAGGUGGCGAGGAGGGCCUGGGCCUC
rnacentral:antisense_RNA from 2 species